AUCUUAGCAGUCAUUAUUUAUUAAAUAUUUUAAUAAGACCAGUUAUUCUCUAAAGAUCAAAACCUUGUAGGUAUUUAAAGCAUUUUAAUUGAUUUAAGAAAUAGGAAGGAUAGAUUAAAAGAUUAUAAAGCCGGAACUUGACUCGCAUAGGUCGUCUAUGUUACGUAAGUUGUGCAAAGGUCGAGACGUAAGAAACAUGACUUUCAGACAUUUGUUAAGUUGUUCUUAGCUCAUAACAUCAAUUACAUCGACUUAACAACAUAAUAAAAACCUUAGAUCGAGAGCAAUAAUGUCACCAGGUUUAGUGAACUGCGUACACGAGGUUGGAACUGAAAUGAAGACCGGUUGCACCCUUCGUAAAAAAACAUGCUUAGGUAA